rnacentral:rRNA from 1 species
CGCGUAGGUGGUUUGAUAAGGGUGUGGUGAAAGUCCGGGGCUCAACCCCGGAUCUGCCGUGCCGACUGUCAAACUCGAGGGCUGUAGAGGCAGACGGAAUUCCGGGUGUAGCGGUGGAAUGCGUAGAGAUCCGGAGGAAGACCGGUGGCGAAGGCGGUCUGCUGGGCAGUUUCUGACACUGAGGCGCGGCAGCGUGGGGAGCAAACA